rnacentral:misc_RNA from 1 species
CAGAGUUCAUGCCCUCACGGGUAGAUCUCCCACCCUUGAAAUACAUACCUUUGUUGCUUUGGCAGGCCGCGGCCUCCGCUACCGGCUCUUGCUGGUACGUGCCUGCCAGAGGACCCAACUCUUGUCUUUAGUGAUGUCUGAGUACUAUAUAAUAGUUA